GACGUAGGGCGCGAGCGUUGUCCGGAUUUAUUGGGCGUAAAGAGCUCGUAGGCGGUUUGUCGCGUCUGCUGUGAAAACCCGAGGCUCAACCUCGGGCCUGCAGUGGGUACGGGCAGACUAGAGUGCGGUAGGGGAGAUUGGAAUUCCUGGUGUAGCGGUGGAAUGCGCAGAUAUCAGGAGGAACACCGAUGGCGAAGGCAGGUCUCUGGGCAUUAACUGACGCUGAGGAGCGAAAGCAUGGGGAGCGAACAGG
rnacentral:rRNA from 1 species